rnacentral:lncRNA from 1 species
GAUCCAGUGCACAAUAAUGUAAGAUCUCCAAUAUAUAUAGUUCCUUUGUCAAUUGCAUUUAUUGUGUACCCUAACUUUGAUGCUCCAGCUUGUGCUAGAUACUGAAAACUAUACAGUUUAAGGUUUCUACUUUCUAUAUAGUCCUGUAAACUAGGCAUUAAAAGUAUUGAAUUGCAAGCUCUUGGUAAUUGUAAGUAGUGAGCAAGUGAUAUAGCAUUUACAAUAAUUUUAAUUUUGAAGAACAAAAGAAUGUAUCAACUUGUGAAUAUAUUUGUUGGUUUGAAUUUUAUUUCUGGUUUCACUUGAAGUUCCAUGCAAAUGUAUUGAUUCCUUUUGCCAUCAAUUAUCACAUGUAAAUGUGUACUACUUUUUAGUUGUAACAAAAAAAAUAAAAUAGUAUAUGCCUAUGAUGGAAAUUGAUCUUCUCCUUUUGCCAUCAAUUAUCAAUGUUGUUUGAAAUCAAGAGUAAUCCCGCAGAUCACAAGGCUACUGGUGAGGUUAUGGUACCAAACUACAAUGCUGAAGAGUAUAUUAAUACCUUAAAAAAGGUUUGUGACAUCAGUGAUACUACCGAAUUCACAACAGGAGAGUUAAAGAGAAAUCUUAGAAUACUACAUUUGAUGGUGCAUAUUCUAAGAUAGAUAAUCCUGAACUCCAUUUGAUAUAUGUUUUAGGACACAAGGUCAAAAUAAAUUGGCCUCAUUACUUCAUAUCCGGAGUCGCAACAUAAAUCCAUCUUUUUCUUACUGCUCUAUCAUAUCUAGGAUUUUGAAGCAUUUUGAGAUCAAAGCUCCUGCUGAGUUUCUUGAGGCACCUACUCUUACUCAGUGUUUCAAUUACUCUACCAUGAAAUACAUGAAAUAUACCAUGGGAUGGAAACAACAUUUAGUACAUAAUGCCCAAGAAAGGAGUAAUUAUGAUGAUCCUGAGCCUGUAAAAGAGGCACAACCUGAUGGAAAUGCAAACAAUCAACAAUACGUUCAAUGACAUGAUGGGAAUAUUGAAGGUGAGCAUGUAAAACCUGAUAUUGCACAAGAUGAAGUUAUGGCAGAUGCUAGAUACUGACUAUGGGGAAGAAAAUGAGUUAUAUGAUUGGCAGAUGCUAGAUACUGACAUGAUUGGCUAGGUAACGAAACUCCGUAACCGGCAAGUUCAAGUCAAUGUUGGGCUCCUUGGUCCAAUCCUUCUUAGGGUAAUAAUGUUGGAAAUAACUCGAAUAGGGGAAAUACUAUGAAUGGAAGUGGGGGUGCUUACAAUUGAGACAAAUAAGCUUAUGGUUCGCCAUCUGAUGUAGGUUCGAGUGGUGAUAUGUCAUAGGUUGUCACUUUGCUGGAGCACUUGCGAGUGCAGC